rnacentral:lncRNA from 1 species
UAUAUAUUAUAUAUAUGUCUGAACCAAAACCCCUACCUCUUUCAGUUGUCUCCUUCACACCCCUAUCCCUCACAAACCCUAAAUUUUGCCGCCACCAAAUUCCACCGCCAUAGGGGGGCGGCGGCGCCUCCGUGCACCCCCAAAUUAACACCAUCUGUUCUCCUUCCACUCCUUAUUUCAUAUCGUCCCUUAGUUUCCUUUGAAUCAUCACCCAAUUUCUCGAAUAUUAAUUUGAAAACCUCGGUCAAAAUACAAACUCAUCCAAACCGGCUCAAAUUCACACCCCAUAGUCCUCAAGGCUCCCUCAAUCCAAAAGUUCUCGAAUCUUCCCAGUACUGCACGAAGUUCGAAUCUGGUGUGAACUGUUUCGAGGGUAUGCAAGUUGGAUGGUUUUAGAUUAAUGUUAUUGGUUUAUUUUGACCAAAAUAAACAUGUAACAUUUAUCAAAACUCAAUCCGGAGUCAUUUGGUUUGAAGAACAUACUUCAGUGAGUUCUUCUCAUUUCUCUUCUUCAAUUUGCAAUUGGUUCAUUUGUUUUGUUGAGCCCAAUUGAUGGCAUUUCAUUGCAUGGGUGAUUAUAUGUCUAGGUCUCUUUUAUUUCUUAUUGGUUGGAUUUUGCUUAGUCUGAAUGAUCAAAUAGUAGUUAAUUUGAUUUCUUUUGUUUUUUUGACUGUUGAUGAGGCUUUAAUGGCAGUUAAUUGGCCUGUUUUCAUAAUUUUCUUAGUUCACUAGUAUCCAGAUUAAAUUGCUGUUAAUCCAGAAAAAUUUAGGAUUUGUGCUUGUUUAUUUUUGCUUAUUUGGUCCUUCUAGAAAUAAAUUGAGUCAAUUUCAGUUCAUGAUUUGAUUUAUUAGUGGGCAAUUUAAUUAAGUUAAUUGAUCAAAGUAAAUUAGGUUCAAGUUUGGAUAUAGCUGUUUAGUUGUUAUAUAACCUUAGUUAAUUUUAAAUAGGGGUUAAGGGGGUUGGGUCACUUAGUUGAAGUCUGUAAAUUUCAGAUUUUUUAAAGGGUAAUUUGGGAUGAAAAAGUGUAGUAUUUUGAGAAUUGGUAAUUGUAAUAUAGGUUUAAGGGUAGUCUAGAAAUUUUGGAGCUAGAAGGGCAUCCUAGAAGCUCUUAGAAUAGGGCUUUAGUGCACAUUUCAAUAGAACGUAGGGAAUAACUUGGGGAAUAAGUCAUAACUUUAGGGUAUUGAAGCAAAAAUGAAAAUUCAAGGGGGGGGGGGGGGGUAAAGGUAAAAGAAAAUCUGCAAGUGUUGCCCUUAUUUGCUCUUAUAAAUAGGCAUUUUAUGCCUUGGGGAAGCUCUUCAACCUUUUUUAGUCCUAAAAAAAUAUCAUAAGAAAAAAAAAUCUGAUUUCUUAAUUCAUUCUAGUUUUAGAUUAGCUUCAGCAUUUAGAUACAUAGAAAAAUACAAAAAAAAUACAUACAAAAAUAAAAAACAACAAAACUCUUCAGAAAAAAUAAAAAAUAUACUGUUCCAUUAGAUACUUUGAGCUAAUUCCAACUUACAAUUAAUGUUUUCCCCUGUCUAGUUCAGUAUUGAGUUGCUGUGAUUUUAGACAUUCACUGACUGAUUUUAGAGGGAUUUUUUGGGGUCCAACUAAACUGGUUUUGGUCGAGCCUGGGUUGUUGAAGAUCUUAGUGUGUUUUGGGUUGAUUUCAAGUCUAUCUGAUUCACUUUGGUACUGUUUGGGGUCUGAUUUCCUAGUCCUGUUUGGUUCAAACUCCCUGGAUCACUAAUUCAGUUUUGAAUUAAUAUUAACUGUGUUUAUUGUUGGAGUUUGUACCUGGUUUUGAGCUGUUGAUUGAAUUGUUGAUUCCAUUGCUGACUCUUUUUGCUACUGUUGUGCUAACUGCUCCUUGUUCUGUUGAACUAUAAUUCCCAGGUACACUACUUGAACCUCACUGAUGUAUCCAUUGAAGUUUCAAUGAAGGAAUUGGACGUUUGAUUGAGGAUCAUUGAUGUUUAGCUGAUGAUUGUGCUAGCAUAUGUUUGUUUAUUGUGCGUAGUUCAAUCUAGAAACUGAUUUUGGUAGUGUUCACAGUGAUUAGUAUUAAUUUUGAUUAUGUUAUGGCUAACUAUAUAUGUUGUACUUGAAUAAAACACCUUGACAACACUAAUAUAUUUAUGGGGAUUGUCAUUGAGUAAGUCAGUGCCAAAUCUCACUUGUGUAGAAAUGAUUCAGUGAUAGUAUUAGGUUCUAGAGAUUAAUUAGUAUCUUAAUUUUGAUGAUGUUGUUGAAUGAAAUUAAAACCUUAUGAUUUUAAAUUAAAUAAGCAUAUGUAGUUCCUCUUCAUUAUACUGUUUGUAAUUUGACAUAGAUCCAUCAUAUAGCUGUUUUAACGAAAAUUGAUUUAAUAUUAUGGCUUCGUUUUUUUGUGAUUGGGAGUCGAUCCUAC